rnacentral:rRNA from 1 species
GCAGCGCGGGGCAACCUGGCGGCGAGUGGCGAACGGGUGAGUAAUAUAUCGGAACGUGCCCUGGAGUGGGGGAUAACGCAGCGAAAGUUGCGCUAAUACCGCAUACGAUCUAAGGAUGAAAGCGGGGGAUUCGCAAGAACCUCGUGCUCCUGGAGCGGCCGAUAUCUGAUUAGCUAGUUGGUGGGGUAAAGGCCUACCAAGGCAUCGAUCAGUAGCUGGUCUGAGAGGACGACCAGCCACACUGGAACUGAGACACGGUCCAGACUCCUACGGGAGGCAGCAGUGGGGAAUUUUGGACAAUGGGCGAAAGCCUGAUCCAGCAAUGCCGCGUGAGUGAAGAAGGCCUUCGGGUUGUAAAGCUCUUUUGUCAGGGAAGAAACGGUGAAGGCUAAUAUCCUUUGCUAAUGGCGGUACCUGAAGAAUAAGCACCGGCUAACUACGUGCCAGCAGCCGCGGUAAUACGUAGGGUGCAAGCGUUAAUCGGAAUUACUGGGCGUAAAGCGUGCGCAGGCGGUUUUGUAAGUCUGUCGUGAAAUCCCCGGGCUCAACCUGGGAAUUGCGAUGGAGACUGCAAGGCUAGAAUCUGGCAGAGGGGGGUAGAAUUCCACGUGUAGCAGUGAAAUGCGUAGAGAUGUGGAGGAACACCGAUGGCGAAGGCAGCCCCCUGGGUCAAGAUUGACGCUCAUGCACGAAAGCGUGGGGAGCAAACAGGAUUAGAUACCCUGGUAGUCCACGCCCUAAACGAUGUCUACUAGUUGUCGGGUUUUAAUUAACUUGGUAACGCAGCUAACGCGUGAAGUAGACCGCCUGGGGAGUACGGUCGCAAGAUUAAAACUCAAAGGAAUUGACGGGGACCCGCACAAGCGGNGGAUGAUGUGGAUUAAUUCGAUGCAACGCGAAAAANCUUACCUACCCUUGAC